rnacentral:misc_RNA from 1 species
AGCAGCCGCGGUAAUUCCAGCUCCAAUAGCGUAUAUUAAAGUUGUUGCAGUUAAAAAGCUCGUAGUUGAAUUUCGGGAUUGGCGCAUCGGUCGUGCCUUACGGGGUAUGAACUGGUGCAGUCAAUUUCUCACCUUCUGGAGAACCGCGAUGUCCUUAAUUGGGUGCCGCGGGGGAACCAGGACCUUUACUU